rnacentral:rRNA from 1 species
GACGAACGCUGGCGGCGUGCUUAACACAUGCAAGUCGAACGGAAAGGCCCUGCUUUUGUGGGGUGCUCGAGUGGCGAGCGGGUGAGUAACACGUGAGUAACCUGCCCUUGACUUUGGGAUAACUUCAGGAAACUGGGGCUAAUACCGGAUAGGAGCUCCUGCUGCAUGGUGGGGGUUGGAAAGUUUCGGCGGUUGGGGAUGGACUCGCGGCUUAUCAGCUUGUUGGUGGGGUAGUGGCUUACCAAGGCUUUGACGGGUAGCCGGCCUGAGAGGGUGACCGGCCACAUUGGGACUGAGAUACGGCCCAGACUCCUACGGGAGGCAGCAGUGGGGAAUAUUGCACAAUGGGCGGAAGCCUGAUGCAGCAACGCCGCGCGCGGGAUGACGGCCUUCGGGUUGUAAACCGCUUUCGCCUGUGACGAAGCGUGAGUGACGGUAAUGGGUAAAGAAGCACCGGCUAACUACGUG